rnacentral:lncRNA from 1 species
AAAUAUGAGCACCAGAGACAAGGUGGGUUGCUUCAACAGAUAGAGAUCUCGGAGUGGAAAUGGUGUUAGAAAAUACGCUUAACGUUAGAGGGGGGGGGGUGAAUAGCGUUAUAAUAAAAUUGAGCGUAAACUUGCGGAAAUUAAAAUUUGCAGGAAAUAAAUAAGUGCGUUAAAUAAACAAAAAGGAAAGAACGCACCGAUAUAUUCUGGUUCAC